CCAGCUGGUCAACCAGGCACCUUGCUCUCCUCCGUUCCCUGAGCUCAGGUGGCAUAGGCGUUGCCGUGAGCUGCGGAGAAAUCUCCACGCAGAGUCGCCUGUUGAUAACCCUCCAGUUAAAACGUUCUUGGCAGCGGGAGCCCCUCAGAUGUAAAUUUCCCUUUCACACGCUUGAGCUUCAGCAGUCCUCCAAAGAGAAUGUUUGAAUUGAAUUAUAUGAAGCCCUCCUUUCUUCAAAUGAAGUCACGGACUCUGAUGGCACUGGCUUGUCAGGCAGGACGACCGGACUGGGAAAGAGACCAGGUAGAAACUAGUGACCUAGUGACGGG
rnacentral:lncRNA from 1 species